GACGAACGCUGGCGGCGGGCUUAACACAUGCAAGUCGAACGGAAAGGCCCUGCUUGUGUGGGGUGCUCGGGUGGGGAAGGGGGGAGUAACACGUGAGUAACCUGCUCUUGACUUUGGGAUAACUUCAGGAAACUGGGGCUAAUACCGGAUAGGAUCUCCCGCUGCAUGGAGGGGGUUGGAAAGUUUAGGCUGUUGGGGAUGGACUCGCGGCUGAUCAGCUUGUUGGUGGGGGAGUGGCUUCCCAAGGCAUGGAAGGGUAGCCCGCCUGAGAGCGUGACCGGCCACCUUGGGCCUGCGGUACGGCCCAGAGUCCAACGGGAGGCAGCAGUGGGAAAUAUUGCCCAGUGGGCCGGCGUCUGUUGCAGAAACCCCGCGUGCGGGAUGACGUCUUUCGGGUUGUAAACAGCUUUAGCUUGUGACGAAGCGUUACUGACGGUAAUGGGUGAAGAAGCACCGGCUAACUACGUG
rnacentral:rRNA from 1 species